GACGAACGCUGGCGGCGUGCUUAACACAUGCAAGUCGAACGAUGAAGAAGAGAAACGCGAACUUCGGUUCAAAUUUCACUUCGGAUUAGUGGCAGACGGGUGAGUAACGCGUGAGCAACCUACCUCUUACAAAGGGAUAGCCUCGGGAAACCGUGAUUAAUACCAUAUGACACAUUCAUAAGGCAUCUUAAGAAUGUUAAAGCUACGGCGGUAAGAGAUGGGCUCGCGUCCCAUUAGCUAGUUGGUGAGGUAACGGCCCACCAAGGCGACGAUGGGUAACCGGCCUGAGAGGGUGAACGGUCACAUUGGAACUGAGACACGGUCCAAACUCCUACGGGAGGCAGCAGUGGGGAAUAUUGCACAAUGGAGGGAACUCUGAUGCAGCGACGCCGCGUGAGCGAUGAAGGAAUUCGUUUCGUAAAGCUCUGUUCUAUGGGAAGAAAGGGACUGUACCAUAGGAGAAAGCCCCGGCUAAAUACGUG
rnacentral:rRNA from 1 species